rnacentral:rRNA from 1 species
UGGGGAAUCUUAGACAAUGGGGGCAACCCUGAUCUAGCCAUGCCGCGUGAGUGAUGAAGGCCUUAGGGUUGUAAAGCUCUUUCAGCUGGGAAGAUAAUGACGGUACCAGCAGAAGAAGCCCCGGCUAACUCCGUGCCAGCAGCCGCGGUAAUACGGAGGGGGCUAGCGUUGUUCGGAAUUACUGGGCGUAAAGCGCACGUAGGCGGAUCGGAAAGUUGGGGGUGAAAUCCCGGGGCUCAACCUCGGAACUGCCUUCAAAACUAUCGGUCUUGAGUUCGAGAGAGGUGAGUGGAAUUCCGAGUGUAGAGGUGAAAUUCGUAGAUAUUCGGAGGAACACCAGUGGCGAAGGCGGCUCACUGGCUCGAUACUGACGCUGAGGUGCGAAAGCGUGGGGAGCAAACANNAUUAGAUACCCUGGUAGUCCACGCCGUAAACGAUGAAUUCCAGUCGUCGGGGNAAUAUACUGUUCU